UAAUAUCAUAAAAUAUCAUAUAACAUAAUAUAUGGUAUAAUAUAAUAUUUAAGAAAUAAAAGUUAAAAGUACUUAAACCGUAAGUUUGCAAGUUCUUAUUAUUUUAAUAACUUGAUAAUGUAUUAGAAUGACUGCCCCAUCUGCACUUCUUCAGGCUGGUCAGUGUAACUCUGUUGUUGAGACUGAGACAGACGUUUCUGUAAAUCCCUGAUUGUGAAUUCAGUUUGACUUUUAAAUGAUCUAUGAAAGUUAACCAAAGAAAAUAGCGUCACAGCUAAAAACACGUGUCGGAGACACGGCCUAAACGGUGAAGGGGGGAGGGGGUAUACGUUAGGAGAGAUUUUAUAGCUACCAAGUUAAGACUGUAGCUCCUAUAGAUAAUGUUUCUUCUUCUUCAAACUUGAAAAUAUUUUUGUACAAAUGGUUCGAAUGAGACAAAGUCAUAUGUGUCGAGUUUGAUGUUUCAGGCAAUGAUUGCAAACAAAAUGAUUUUUUAAAGGAAUUGUUUUACAACGAAUCAACAACGAACGUCAAUCAAAUGUCAACCAAGUUUAUUUUUAAAUAAUUGAAUGUUAAAAACAAGAAGGUCAUUCACGUGUGGUUUGGUUGGAACGUAAUUAACGUUCGUUGACAAAAACAACAGACAAAAGAAUGAAUCCUGUCCUUAUCGCAGGAAGAGUGUGUGUAUGUGUGUGUGUGUGUGUGUGUGUGUGUGUGUGUGUGUGUGUGUGUGUGCUGUUUGGCAAAAAAAAAAUUCCACAAAAUCCCAUCUGGAAGUAAUUAAUGGACAAGUGAUUGGUGUACAAGGGCUAGGUUUAAAAGAGCUCAAAUAUUUGUUGAAGUGGCCCUCGUUCCUAAUUCUAUCUCCCAGGCUGUGGCCCUCAUUAUUUAGACCUGCCCACUACGGAGGGAACAAAACGAGUGAAAGCAGAUGCCCCCCUUUCCUCCUCUCUGCUCAAACAGCAUCAGGCUAAUGCUCAACGAGUUACUGUGAACAAAUAAAGACAUUAAUAAGGUAAUUUUAUUAGCGCGGCUUAUCUAGCCCCUCCCCUACGCAGGAAAUUAGUGGUUUCACUCGGUGGUAAUUAACGACUUUACAGGGCUUAAGAGCAAGUAGCAAAUUAACUGCCCCAAUACAAAACUCUCACAGAGGAAAAAAACACUGUAGUUUUUAUGUGUAAUCACAGGACAGGGAGAAAUAUACUGAGGGACAGACAGACAGACAGAUAAAGUGAGAUAGUGAGAAAGACAAGACAUAAAAAAGAGACAGAGAAACCAACUGUAAGAGACAGACAGGCAGUAGGAAAGAGAGAGAGAGAGAGAGAGAGAGAGAGAGAGUAAGAGUGAGACUGAGAGAUAGACAGACAGUGAAACAGGAGGACAAAGAGAGAGACACUGAGAAAGUCAGUGAGAGAGACAGACAGUAAGAGAGAGAUACAGAGGAAAACAGAUAGUGAGAAUACACCUUUAAUAAGGAGCCGAUGAUUUUGUCUUAAAAAGAGUGAUGGAAAGAAAGACAGACGAGAUAGAGAGUGAGAGAGAACAUACAUACAUACAGACAUCCAGAGAUGAGGGAUAUGUAGAGAGAGACAGACAAUUAGAAGAAAGAUAAUUAGGAAAACAGACAGUGUAGGAGACACACACGGACAGUUGAAUAACAACAAAAAUAGUGUAAUAAACCUCUCAAUAAGUAACGAGCUCGAUAAGUGAAACAAUAACAAGGCUUCAAACGUGUCAUGCUACAGUAGCUUUUGGUUCGGACACUUUUACACUUCCAGAAGAUAACUUUUCGUCGUCUUUUUUCGAAGUUUCAUCCCUUACCGGUUUGGAGGAAAGAGAAAAUUUCAUCUUCAGAGUUUUUUUUUUCCCCUUGAUUUGUCUUCUCUAAUUGGAGCUGAUGAGCAACUAAUUGGUGGCUUUUUUCCCCAUAGAGCAAGACAGCAUGAGCAAAGUUAAUGAGAGGCUUUGGAUGAAUAAGAGAGUGCUCUUCCAGGAGGACAGGGGGAUGGAGGAAAGUUGAGGAUAUCCCUUUGUUUCUGGCUUUCUCUCAACUUUCCCUUUUCUCUUGCGUGCAGGUAUCUGAAAAGCGAGUUGGGAGCACAGAGGUGAGCACUCGUCCACAUAAAGGAAUCCUUUAUCUAUUGUUUUUAGGGGUCCUCUUUUUUUGCGUGGUUAUGAGGAGCGAAUGAGAGACAGACACAGAGAGAGAGAGAGAGAGAGAGAGAGAGAGAGAGAGAGAGAGAAGCACACUCACUUGAAUGCACUUUAGUGAGGAUGAAUAGUGAGAAAAGGCUUCACACAGGACCGUGUUGGGCCACUUCUGCAUAAUGUUUCAAUACAUUCUCUCUCUCUCUCUCUCUCUCUCUCUCUCUCUCUCUCUCUCUCUCUCUCUCUCUCUCUCUCUCUCUCACACACACACACACACACACACACAGACACAUAUUCACAGGAGGUCCCUUGUGUGUAGAACAUUGUUAGGUUAAAACACACAGAGGAGCCCAAUGGUAUGAAAUAAAUCAAUAAGAACCCAUAAGAAACUAUACAUCAGAAAGUUUCUGACCUUCUGAAGGUCCAGCUGGGAAAUUCUUUUCACAUGUCCACAUGUCCAUAUACAAGAACAAAUAUUUUAAUAGGCUUCAAGUGGUGCAAAAAAAUAUUGGCCAUAAUUUACAAUUUGAAACCUGACUUGGGAGUCAAGAGUAUAAUUUUGGCUGUUCCAUCUGGGUGGGCGGGGCAUACUCUGUCUCUCCUGUCAAUCACACUGACAGGAGCCAAUCGUGUGUCUGUGAGGUCGUGUAUGUGGAAGAGGGCAAAUUGCAACGGUUGUGUCUGACGAAUGGAAACCGACAGGUAAAAACGGAGGGAAAAUCCCGAUUAGAACAACAAACUAAAUAAAUUAAAAAAAUGGUUGACGGACAUUCAGGAAGUUUUUUUUUCUACUGAAUUCUCUAAGAACAUAAUAAACCUUCCUACUUCACCAAGACGUAUCAUUGCGUUUUCAAUAUCGAAUGCAAAUAUUGUAAAUAUUGUUGAUUGUGUAUCAUCGAAGUGACGUAAAUACAGUAAGGAAAAACAAAAUGAUGUGAGACUCAGAUCAUCUUCAUGUAUUCUGUGGAAUGAUCUGAGAUCUCCUCCUUCUUUAUCUCGUUAUUCGGUGGUGUUAAGUAAACGGACGUCGCUUCGUAUGUGAACACGGAGAGACUUCCACGUGGGGAUUAAACCAGAAACCCACCGUGAGGUCAGACAAUGAGAAAAAAAGCAACAAAAACAUUUGUAAAAGAUUUACAUUUGAGGAGAAACCCUACACUCCUUGUACACCUCAUUUUCCUGAAAAUCUGCCACUCGCUUUAAAACUUCCUCUCGGUCUGUGGUCGUAUAAUUGGCUGGCCAAAUAUUUGCCCUGGCUAAUUUGUAGUGUUAUUCUCACACUAAGUAAUCCAUUAGCUCUCAACAGAGCGUAUUGUGUCCAAGCAGAAAGAAGCCAUUUGCAUCUUCUUUGUUAUUUAAAUGUCAUGUUUCCUCCUCGCUGUGAGACUUAACUUCUUAAUGAAUACCUGAUGAAACGAAAAGAAAGUAGACGGAAAAGGAAAAGGAAAAUACUGCGGGGGCAAAACUAUUGGCGCCUACAGAAAAUGUUACAUAUAUAUUUUUAUCAUUUGUAAAUCUUAAAUGUUUAUCUUCAUUAACCUAUUGUCGAACUGAAACGGAGUGCAUGUAGAGGCAACAAAUACACCGUCGUUUUACAUUUCAAAUGAUUCCCCAUUGUUGAGUCAGACCUUUGAGAGUCAGACCUUUGAGAGUCAGACCGUAUCCACCGUAGCCUCAGGUGUCUGUUCUUGGCUGAACACAUCACGGUCUUCUGCUGUGGAAGUUCAACACCUUAACAUUUAAAGUGUUCAGUAGUAAAGAGUGAUUAUUCAAGUUCUUGUAGCUUUCCUGUCCUCAGCACACGCUCCUUACAGAAUGAUGGAUGUCGAUCAUUUUGUGAGAUGUUUUAAAGAAUUGUUUUGAGUAUUAAGUCUAGUCUUGAGAUUCUUUACUGUUCAAAACGGCUGUAACGAGCGAUUAAAAAAAAACUUUCUCAUGUUCUGUAGUGUGUGUCGGUGGUUGUACUUUUGUCAAAUUAUUUGUCCUUUUUUUGAAAGGUGUCAAUUUUUUUUUUUUACACUACAGUUCAUUUUAGUCUCCUAGCCGGCUCGUUGCAGCUGGCCGAUGCCGAGUGACCUCGGCUCAUGGGUCAGAGGUCACACACUCUCUCUGGAGUGUCCCUCAUUAUCCAUUAUCCUCGAUCAGCAGGGGCGAUUGAAAGUGAGUGUUUGUGUCCUCGCCCCCCUUGACCCCUCCCCCUUUUCCCUCACCCACCCCACCGAGUGAGACGCCCCCGAGGGCCACCGUAAAGCCGAAGUCCUUCAUUCAGGAAGCUGUCAAUCUGUGGCCGAACAGCGGGGAUGGGGAUAAGACCAACCUGCGCUGCUUGUGUUGCAACACCGUGUGUUUGUGUUGGAACAGUGAAAGCAGCGAGUGAGCUAAAAGACACUAAUCCUGCGUCCCUUUACCACACCACAUUAACCUUGUCUCAUUUCCAUAGAGCGCUAAUUACAGGCUCGGACAAGUCACGUUAAUUACAGGCUCAGAACACCGGAUUAGGAGCGUGUCGAAUCCUGGAUAAAGGGUUGGAGUAACACGUUCUGACACAUUAUCUUCAUCGAGCUUUAUUUCUGCUCUACACUCACUCAUAUUCAGGAGAACACACAGCGAGUCUCCACUGAACAUCGACGGAUCAUCUAUAGAGAUCGUCAGUAGCAUCAAAUCUCUUGGUGUUCAUCUAGCGGAGAACUUCACCUGGUCCCCCGACCCUGGAGAAAUCACCACCGGUGUUGUUCACGUCUCGGUGGAAAACAAGGCUUCAGAUGAAUUCUGAUUUUAACAAGACUCACGGCUCAUUAGUGUGGGAUGGAGAUCAGCUGAGCGUGAAACGAUGUAGAGGAAGAAAAGAAAUGUGCAGAAAAUGGACGAGUGUUUUUACAGGGUUUUACUGUUCCAUGUUGAAAAUAAUCAGGGUUUCACUUUGGACCUUCGUGUCAACAUCGUCAGGAUGCUAACGAUUAAAACGAGUAGAAUAAACUUCUUUUAAAUGUUAUUUUUAAUAAGACAUAUAUUAAUUUUAAUUUUAUUUAAAUACUUACCUGAUUCAUUCAGACUAUUAGACAUCCGAAGUGCAUGAUGUUCGGUAGGCCGUAGAAGUACCACGGAUGUGUGAAUCAAUGAAUCAUCUAUGACGAAUCAUGAACCGAUUAAUGAGUCGAAUCAAACCAAAUUGUUCACCUUCCGUUGUGUGUCAGUAACAAAAGAUUCACCCCAGACUGUGAGAAUGAUAAAUAUGUACAUCUUUUAUGUUAAAAAAAUAGAAUUUCAUACAAAGAA